CAAGGGCUCCCACGGGGACAGGGACCGGAUCAGGGGUGAAAUGGAGCACAU
rnacentral:SRP_RNA from 11 species